rnacentral:rRNA from 1 species
GACGAACGCUGGCGGCGUGCCUAAUACAUGCAAGUCGAACGCAGUGGGGACGGGUGAGUAACACGUGGGUAACCUCCCAUCAGAGGGGAUAACACUUGGAAACAGGUGCUAAACCGAUAUUGAUGUAGGGACCCGCGGGGCAUGAGCUAGUGGGUGAGGUAACGGCUCACCAAGGCCACGAUGACUAGCCGAGCUGAGAGGAUGAUCGGCCACACUGGUACUGAGACACGGACCAGACUCCUACGGGAGGCAGCAGUGGGGAAUAUUCGGCAAUGGACGAAAGUCUGACCGAGCAACGCCGCGUGUGUGAAGAAGGUCUUCGGAUUGUAAAACUCUGUUGUUAGAGAAGCGUUAUCUAACCAGAAAGCAACGGCUAACUACGUGCCAGCAGCCGCGGUAAUAC